GCCUCUGUAGCUCAGUUGGUUGGAGCGCUGCACCGGAAUCGCAGGGCCGCAGGUUCGAUUCCUACCAGGGACA
rnacentral:tRNA from 1 species